rnacentral:lncRNA from 1 species
CUUCAGGAGGACAUCAUCUUGCAUCUCAAGCAGACUGCUGGUGUACUGAUGCUGAUGCUUUCCUAAAUCAUAGAAGCAUAGAAUGGCUUGGGAUUGAAGGACCCCAAGGGUCAUCAAGCUCCACCUCCUCUGACAGAGGCAGGGAAAAGACCUUCAAGAUCAAGUCCAAUCUUACCUACUGUAUCCUGUCACUAUACUGUUCCUUAGUGCCAUGUCCUCAUACCACGUCCUUCAAUACCUUAAAUGAGAUGGAAAUUCCACCUUUUCUCCGAGCAGCCCAUUCCAAAGCUUGACAAUCUUCUACAUGUAGAAAUUCUUCGCGAAGUUAUAUAGUUUUGGUUGCAGUAUGUGAAAAUUGUGCAACAUCUAACUUUUUUUUAACAGAUUUUUUGCAAUGUUUUACCUGUAUGUUAUUUUGCUAUUUAUAUUGAAAAAAAAGUAUUCUGGAAGUUUAUCUAAGGAAAAUUUGACCUAAAUUACAUCUUUGAUGAGUUCUUAAAAAACUAACUAACUAAUUAAUUAAUUAAUUUUUAAUUAAUAUUUAAAAUAUUGUGUCUAAUUUAAACGUGUUCUUCCUCACUGUCUGUAACUAGGGACUGAUACAAAUAUAUUAAUAUUCAAUGAUGUUUAUCUGAUUUUAAUAGUUUUGUUUUACUACCACUAAAAGUAAUGAUUUCUUCUAUUACAUGCGUUUAAUUUCAAUCUUAGAGAUAAGAAUGUGCUUAUUUAGAAAAUCUAUGUCUAUUCAUAAGUUAAGCUUUUGCUUAACUUUAGCAUAUUUGAAUUCCUUUGAAUUGCAUAUGAACUAAGGAUCUGUACUGUACAUAAUUUCACUGCAGAAAGUGUUGUUUGUUUUCCUAGAGCUGUCAAUGUCAUUUUUUUUUAACAGACACUGCAUGACUGACAUGGGAAACAACGAACCAUUCAGUGUUUUAAAUGUCAUACGAAAUACUGUCUAGAACAUUGUUCCAAUGAGUAAAUUUUGUUAUCUAUACUUAAUAGGAAAACUAUUCCAUUUAAUGUACUUAACAAUGACAUAAAUAUGAGAUCU